CAAUAGCGUAUAUUUAAGUUGUUGCAGUUAAAAAGCUCGUAGUUGGAUUUCGGAUGGGAUUUGCCGGUCCGUCGUUACGAUGUGCACUGGCCAGUCCUAUCUUGUUGUCGGGGACUAGCUCCUUGGAUUCACUUCCUGGGACUAGGAGCUGACGAGGUUACUUUGAGUAAAUUAGAGUGUUCAAAGCAAGCCUACGCUCUGAAUACAUUAGCAUGGAAUAACACGAUAGGACUCUGGCUUAUCUUGUUGGUCUGUGAGACCAGAGUAAUGAUUAAGAGGGACAGUCGGGGACAUUCGUAUUUCAUUGUCAGAGGUGAAAUUCUUGGAUUUAUGAAAGACGAACUUCUGCGAAGGCAUUUGUCAAGGAUGUUUUCAUUAA
rnacentral:rRNA from 1 species